AUUGAACGCUGGCGGCAGGCCUAACACAUGCAAGUCGAACGGUAACAGGAAACAGCUUGCUGUUUCGCUGACGAGUGGCGGACGGGUGAGUAAUGUCUGGGAAACUGCCUGAUGGAGGGGGAUAACUACUGGAAACGGUAGCUAAUACCGCAUAACGUCGCAAGACCAAAGAGGGGGACCCUCGGGCCUCUUGCCAUCGGAUGUGCCCAGAUGGGAUUAGCUUGUUGGUGGGGUAACGGCUCACCAAGGCGACGAUCCCUAGCUGGUCUGAGAGGAUGACCAGCCACACUGGAACUGAGACACGGUCCAGACUCCUACGGGAGGCAGCAGUGGGGAAUAUUGCACAAUGGGCGCAAGCCUGAUGCAGCCAUGCCGCGUGUAUGAAGAAGGCCUUCGGGUUGUAAAGUACUUUCAGCGGGGAGGAAGGGAGUAAAGUUAAUACCUUUGCUCAUUGACGUCACCCGCAGAAGAAGCACCGGCUAACUCCGUG
rnacentral:rRNA from 1 species